UUCCAUCGCUAAGUCAAGAUACCUUUCCGCAAUCCUUUGCAAACUCUCCAUGAAAGUCAUCUGUUACAGCUUUGGUAAAUUAAGCCGCAUCCGCCAGUCUCUGUUUCGGCAGUUCUUGGUUCCCGACAUAACAUCCGUCUUGGAGGUUUUGUCAACAGGAUGCAUGGCGUGUCUCGUUGUGAGUUGAGGUUUGCUUUGCCUUGUUGGCUUUUGACGAUAGCACGUCUCUUAGUAAUGGUUCACACAUAC
rnacentral:snoRNA from 1 species